AGAGUUUGAUCCUGGCUCAGAACGAACGCUGGCGGCGCGUUUAAGCAUGCAAGUCGAGCGGCAAGGGCCUUCGGGCCCCUAGAGCGGCGGACGGGUGAGUAACACGUGGACAAUCUGCCCCCCGGCCCGGGAUAGCCCAAGGAAACCUGGAUUAAUACCGGAUGAGACGGGACCCGCGAUGGCGGGACCCGGGAAAGGCGCUGCGGCGCCGCCGGGGGAUGAGUCUGCGUCCCAUUAGCUAGACGGCGGGGUAACGGCCCACCGUGGCGACGAUGGGUAGCCGGCCUGAGAGGGUGGACGGCCACAUUGGAACUGAGACACGGUCCAGACUCCUACGGGAGGCAGCAGCUAAGAAUCUUCCGCAAUGGGCGAAAGCCUGACGGAGCGACGCCGCGUGAACGAAGAAGGCCGUGAGGUUGUAAAGUUCUUUUCGGGAGAGGGAACAACCGUGGCAGGGAAUGGCCGCGGGAUGACGUGAAUCCCGGAAUAAGCCCCGGCUAACUACGUGCCAGCAGCAGC
rnacentral:rRNA from 1 species